GCAGUCGAACGGCAGCACGGAGCUUGCUCUGGUGGCGAGUGGCGAACGGGUGUGUAAUAUACCGGAACGUACCCUAGAGUGGGGGAUAACGUAGCGAAAGUUACGCUAAUACCGCAUACGAUCUAAGGAUGAAAGUGGGGGAUCGCAAGACCUCAUGCUCGUGGAGCGGCCGAUAUCUGAUUAGCUAGUUGGUAGGGUAAAAGCCUACCAAGGCAUCGAUCAGUAGCUGGUCUGAGAGGACGACCAGCCACACUGGAACUGAGACACGGUCCAGACUCCUACGGGAGGCAGCAGUGGGGAAUUUUGGACAAUGGGCGAAAGCCUGAUCCAGCAAUGCCGCGUGAGUGAAGAAGGCCUUCGGGUUGUAAAGCUCUUUUGUCAGGGAAGAAACGGUGAAAGCUAAUAUCUUUUGCUAAUGACGGUACCUGAAGAAUAAGCACCGGCUAACUACGUGCCAGCAGCCGCGGUAAUACGUAGGGUGCAAGCGUUAAUCGGAAUUACUGGGCGUAAAGCGUGCGCAGGCGGUUUUGUAAGUCUGAUGUGAAAUCCCCGGGCUCAACCUGGGAAUUGCAUUGGAGACUGCAAGGCUAGAAUCUGGCAGAGGGGGGUAGAAUUCCACGUGUAGCAGUGAAAUGCGUAGAUAUGUGGAGGAACACCGAUGGCGAAGGCAGCCCCCUGGGUCAAGAUUGACGCUCAUGCACG
rnacentral:rRNA from 1 species